GACGAACGCUGGCGGCGUGCUUAACACAUGCAAGUCGAACGGAAAGGCCCUACUUUUGUGGGGUGCUCGAGUGGCGAACGGGUGCGUAACACGUGAGUAACCUGCCCUUGACUUUGGGGUAACUUCAGGAAACUGGGGCUAAUACCGGAUAGGAUCUCCUGCUGCAUGGUGGGGGUUGGAACGUUUCGGCGGUUGGGGAUGGACUCGCGGCUUAUCAGCUUGUUGGUGGGGUAGUGGCUUACCAAGGGUUUGACGGGUAGCCGGCAUGUGAGGGGGACCGGGCACAUGAGGCCUACGAGACGGACCAGAGGCCUAUGGGAGGCAGCAGGGGGGAAUAUGGCACAAUGGGCGGAAGCCGGAGGCAGAAACGCCGGGUGCGGGAUGACGGCCUUCGGGUUGUAAACCGCUUUCGCCUGUGACGAAGCGGGAGUGACGGUAAUGGGUAAAGAAGCACCGGCUAACUACGUG
rnacentral:rRNA from 1 species